AUUGAACGCUGGCGGCAUGCUCUACACAUGCAAGUCGAACGGGCUGGGGGCAACUCCAGUCAGUGGCGAACGGGUGAGUAAUGCAUCGGAACGUGUCCCAUAGUGGGGGAUAACCCAGCGAAAGCUGGGCUAAUACCGCAUAAGCUCUAUGGAGGAAAGCGGGGGAUCGCAAGACCUCGCGCUUUGGGAGCGGCCGAUGUCCGAUUAGCUUGUUGGUGGGGUAAUGGCCUACCAAGGCGACGAUCGGUAGCUGGUCUGAGAGGAUGAUCAGCCAAACUGGGACUGAGACACGGCCCGGACUCCUACGGGAGGCAGCAGUGGGGAAUUUUGGACAAUGGGGGAAACCCUGAUCCAGCCAUGCCGCGUGCGGGAAGAAGGCCUUCGGGUUGUAAACCGCUUUUGGCAGGAACGAAACAGUACGAGCUAAUACUUCGUACGAAUGACGGUACCUGCAGAAUAAGCACCGGCUAACUACGUGCCAGCAGCCGCCGCCGUAA
rnacentral:rRNA from 1 species